GACAUACACCACAACUGUGAAAAUCUAUCUCACAGACAUAUAUCACAACUGUGAAAAUGUAUAUCACAGACAUACACCACAACUGUGAAAUGUAUAUCACAGACAUACACCACAACUGUGAAAAUGUAUAUCACAGACAUACACCACAACUGUGAAAAUGUAUAUCACAGACAUACACCACAACUGUGAAAAUCUAUAUCACAGACAUACACCACAACUG
rnacentral:lncRNA from 1 species